rnacentral:rRNA from 1 species
CCGCUUGAGGGAUGACGGCCUUCGGGUUGUAAACCUCUUUCAGUAGGGAAGAAGCGAAAGUGACGGUACCUGCAGAAGAAGCACCGGCUAACUACGUGCCAGCAGCCGCGGUAAUACGUAGGGUGCGAGCGUUAUCCGGAAUUAUUGGGCGUAAAGAGCUCGUAGGCGGUUUGUCGCGUCUGUCGUGAAAGUCCGGGGCUUAACCCCGGAUCUGCGGUGGGUACGGGCAGACUAGAGUGCAGUAGGGGAGACUGGAAUUCCUGGUGUAGCGGUGGAAUGCGCAGAUAUCAGGAGGAACACCGAUGGCGAAGGCAGGUCUCUGGGCUGUAACUGACGCUGAGGAGCGAAAGCAUGGGGAGCGAACAGGAUUAGAUACCCUGGUAGUCCAUGCCGUAAACGUUGGGCACUAGGUGUGGGGACCAUUCCACGGUUUCCGCGCCGCAGCUAACGCAUUAAGUGCCCCGCCUGGGGAGUACGGCCGCAAGGCUAAAACUCAAAGGAAUUGACGGGGGCCCGCACAAGCGGCGGAGCAUGCGGAUUAAUUCGAUGCAACGCGAAGAACCUUACCAAGGCUUGACAUGUUCUCGAUCGCCGUAGAGAUACGGUUUCCCCUUUGGGGCGGGUUCACAGGUGGUGCAUGGUGGUGGUCAGCUCGUGUCGUGAGAUGUUGGGUUAAGUCCCGCAACGAGCGCAACCCUCGUUCCAUGUUGCCAGCACGUAGUGGUGGGGACUCAUGGGAGACUGCCGGGGUCAACUCGGAGGAAGGUGAGGAGGACGUCAAAUCAUCAUGCCCCCUAUGUCUUGGGCUUCACGCAUGCUACAAUGGCCGGUACAAUGGGUUGCGAUACUGUGAGGUGGAGCUAAUCCCAAAAAGCCGGUCUCAGUUUGGAUUGGGGUCUGCAACUCGACCCCAUGAAGUGGGAGUCGCUAGUAAUCGCAGAUCAGCAACGGUGCGGUGAAUACGUUCCCGGGCCUUGUACACACCGCCCGUCAAGUCAAGAAAGUUGGUAACACCCGAAGCCGGUGGCCUAACCC